AAUAUAUGUAUGCAUCACAAUCACAAGGAAUACCAAAUACCAAAACUUAAUUUAAAAAAUGGUGGUGAAUGGUAGUUAGAGGAUGUCCAUAUCCUUUUCGUGAGCGAUCGAUCCAUUAAAAGAGAUGAUAUAUUUGCAUGUUCAACGACAAUCAGGGAGUAAUUCUUUUUAGAAUUCUUUCGUUAUGAUCAACAAAAGGAUGAUAUGAUAUUUUUAAAUCACUCUUUGAUGUAGGGCAUGUGUCCUUGUAAUAAGAGAAUAGUAAAUGUCACAUGUGAUUAUGACUAUUAUAUAAUUACCAUCAUGUAACUUAGAAUGAUUUAUAGAAAAAUUAUAGAAAAUAACACCCUCUUUCGUCGUAAGCAAAGAUAAAAAAAAAAUGUUUGUUGGGAAAGAGAUGAUAUCCGCCUUUAAAGAGGAAAAUUAAUAUGAGAAGAUAUUUUUAACUUUA